UUGCCAAUGAUGGUUAACGAAUUUCUUCACCUGAAUAAGCCAUGUGGUCAUAUUGUAUCUGAGGCAAA